rnacentral:rRNA from 1 species
AUUGAACGCUGGCGGCAGGCCUAACACAUGCAAGUCGAGCGGAGCGGCGGACGGGGGAGUGAUGCCUAGGAAGCUGCCUGUUAGUGGGGGAUAACGUCCGGAAACGGGCGCUAAUAACGCAUACUAGCAGAGGAGCCUAGGGCGGAUUAGCUGGUUGGUGGGGUAACGGCCUACCAAGGCGACGAUGCAUAACUGGUCUGAGAGGAUGAUGAGUCACACUGGAACUGAGACACGGUCCAGACUCCUACGGGAGGCAGCAGUGGGGAAUAUUGGACAAUGGGCGAAAGCCUGAUCCAGCCAUGCCGCGUGUGUGAAGAAGGUUUUCGGAUUGUAAAGCACUUUUAGUUGGGAAGCGGUACCAACAGAAUAAGCACCGGCUAACUUCGUGCCAGCAGCCGCGGUAAUAC